AUAAACACCAAAUAUAAGAAAUGAUCAUGAACUAUCAACUUUUGUUUCAGUUCUUUAAUUUCAAGUUACUUCACAUAUUUCUGCUUUUUUUUAUCAACAACUUUAUCUGAUGAACACAAAUGUCAUCAAUUUAGUAAAGUGCUGACAUACAUUAUUAAAAGCAAACAUUUUAACCCUUGAAGGUACUGCUUCAUAAUUGUAUAAGAACCCAAG
rnacentral:lncRNA from 1 species